GAUGAACGCUGGCGGCGUGCCUAAUACAUGCAAGUCGAGCGAACAGAUGAGGAGCUUGCUCCUCUGACGUUAGCGGCAGACGGGUGAGUAACACGUGGAUAACCUACCUAUAAGACUGGGAUAACUUCGGGAAACCGGAGCUAAUACCGGAUAAUAUAUUGAACCGCAUGGUUCAAUAGUGAAAGACGGUUUUGCGGUCACUUCUAGAUGGAUCCGCGCCGCAUUAGCUAGUUGGUAAGGUAACGGCUUACCAAGGCAACGAUGCGUAGCCGACCUGAGAGGGUGAUCGGCCACACUGGAACUGAGACACGGUCCAGACUCCUACGGGAGGCAGCAGUAGGGAAUCUUCCGCAAUGGGCGAAAGCCUGACGGAGCAACGCCGCGUGAGUGAUGAAGGUCUUCGGAUCGUAAAACUCUGUUAUUAGGGAAGAACAAAUGUGUAAGUAACUAUGCACGUCUUGACGGUACCUAAUCAGAAAGCCACGGCUAACUACGUG
rnacentral:rRNA from 1 species